UUGAGCCGGAUGAGAGGAAACUUUCUUGUCCGAUUUUGAAGGGGAGAGACUAAUAGUAUAAUAGUAUAGGAGUAUAGGAUCCUAUCCCAAU
rnacentral:ncRNA from 1 species